rnacentral:rRNA from 1 species
AACGAACGCUGGCGGCAUGCCUAACACAUGCAAGUCGAACGAGAUCUUCGGGUCUAGUGGCGCACGGGUGCGUAACGCGUGGGAAUCUGCCCUUUGGUUCGGAAUAACAGUUGGAAACGACUGCUAAUACCGGAUGAUGACGAAAGUCCAAAGAUUUAUCGCCAGAGGAUGAGCCCGCGUAGGAUUAGCUAGUUGGUGUGGUAAAGGCGCACCAAGGCGACGAUCCUUAGCUGGUCUGAGAGGAUGAUCGGCCACACUGGGACUGAGACACGGCCCAGACUCCUACGGGAGGCAGCAGUGGGGAAUAUUGGACAAUGGGCGAAAGCCUGAUCCAGCAAUGCCGCGUGAGUGAUGAAGGCCUUAGGGUUGUAAAGCUCUUUUACCCGGGAUGAUAAUGACAGUACCGGGAGAAUAAGCUCCGGCUAACUCCGUGCCAGCAGCCGCUGUAA